UGAGGAAUAUUGGUCAAUGGGGGCAACCCUGAACCAGCCAUGCCGCGUGAAGGAUGACUGCCCUAUGGGUUGUAAACUUCUUUUUUUAGGGACGAAACUGUACUACGUGUAGAACACUGACGGUACCUAAUGAAUAAGCAACGGCUAACUCCGUGCCAGCAGCCGCGGUAAUACGGAGGUUGCAAGCGUUAUCCGGAUUUAUUGGGUUUAAAGGGUGCGUAGGCGGGAAAAUAAGUCAGUGGUGAAAACCUGCAGCUUAACUGUAGAACUGCCAUUGAUACUGUUUUUCUUGAGUAUAGUUGAGGUAGGCGGAAUGUGUAAUGUAGCGGUGAAAUGCUUAGAUAUUACACAGAACACCAAUUGCGUAGGCAGCUUGCUAAACUAUAACUGACGCUGAGGC
rnacentral:rRNA from 1 species